rnacentral:lncRNA from 1 species
GGAGAUGAUUCCUUCUCUAUCUCUAGGAUAUUUUAUGAAGACUAGUGCAAGAAGGAUGUCUACGGAUGAAGACAUACCUUCCUUUACUAAUAGAUAAAGAAAGAAAGACUCUACCAAAGGGUAUAUGAUUAAGACCAAUGUAAAAAUAUCGAGAAAAAACAUGGUCUUGUUGGGCUAGGUCUAAACCAGAAUUUAUAGAAAGAUUAAAAGAUUCCCUAGGUGUAUCUAAAAGUGCAUUAUCUUCUUGAUUAAAAGAUAGGACCUCGGCUAUAGAAAAGGGUUGGUUUUGACCUAUUGCAAUCAACUCCGGACAC